UGACUGAGCGGCGGACGGGUGAGUAACGCGUGGGUAACCUGCCUCAUACAGGGGGAUAACAGUUAGAAAUGACUGCUAAUACCGCAUAAGACCACGGUACUGCAUGGUACAGUGGUAAAAACUCCGGUGGUAUGAGAUGGACCCGCGUCUGAUUAGCUAGUUGGUGGGGUAACGGCCUACCAAGGCGACGAUCAGUAGCCGACCUGAGAGGGUGACCGGCCACAUUGGGACUGAGACACGGCCCAAACUCCUACGGGAGGCAGCAGUGGGGAAUAUUGCACAAUGGGGGAAACCCUGAUGCAGCGACGCCGCGUGAAGGAUGAAGUAUUUCGGUAUGUAAACUUCUAUCAGCAGGGAAGAAAAUGACGGUACCUGACUAAGAAGCCCCGGCUAACUACGUGCCAGCAGCCGCGGUAAUACGUAGGGGGCAAGCGUUAUCCGGAUUUACUGGGUGUAAAGGGAGCGUAGACGGCAUUGCAAGCCAGAUGUGAAAGCCCGGGGCUCAACCCCGGGACUGCAUUUGGAACUGUAGAGCUAGAGUGUCGGAGAGGCAAGUGGAAUUCCUAGUGUAGCGGUGAAAUGCGUAGAUAUUAGGAGGAACACCAGUGGCGAAGGCGGCUUGCUGGACGAUGACUGACGUUGAGGCUCGAAAGCGUGGGGAGCAAACAGGAUUAGAUACCCUGGUAGUCCACGCCGUAAACGAUGACUACUAGGUGUCGGGUAGCAAAGCUAUUCGGUGCCGCAGCAAACGCAAUAAGUAGUCCACCUGGGGAGUACGUUCGCAAGAAUGAAAACUCAAAGGAAUUGACGGGGACCCGCACAAGCGGUGGAGCAUGUGG
rnacentral:rRNA from 1 species